CUGUAUUCACUUGGCCACUGUUGUAGGGAUGGCGCUCACUGCUGUCCAAGUGGCUACAUCUGUGACAGCAGCUCUUACAAAUGCCAGAAAGAUUAUCUGCGCAUAGCCGCCUCUCCCCAGCUGCCUGCCCUCAGAUCUGAUGGCUAUCAGCAGAGAGACC